rnacentral:rRNA from 1 species
CUACGGAGGAUUCGAGCGUUAUCCGGAUUUAUUGGGUUUAAAGGGUGCGUAGGCGGAUUUGUAAGUCAGUGGUGAAAGUUUCCGGCUUAACCGGGAGAAUGCCGUUGAGACUGCAGGUCUUGAGUGCAAGCGAGGUAAGUGGAAUGUGUUGUGUAGCGGUGAAAUGCAUAGAUAUAACACAGAACACCGAUUGCGAAGGCAGCUUACUAGUAUGUAACUGACGCUGAGGCACGUAAGCGUGGGGAGCAAACAGGAUUAGAUACCCUGGUAGUCCACGCAGUAAACGAUGAAUACUAGCUGUAUGCGAUAGACAGUAUGCGGCGGAGCGAAAGCAUUAAGUAUUCCACCUGGGGAGUACGUCGGCAACGAUGAA